rnacentral:rRNA from 1 species
AUUGAACGCUGGCGGCAGGCCUAACACAUGCAAGUCGAGCGCGAAAACACUUCGGUGUGAGUAGAGCGGCGGACGGGUGAGUAAUGCUUGGGAAUCUGCCCAGUAGUGGGGGAUAACGUGUGGAAACGCACGCUAAUACCGCAUACGUCCUACGGGAGAAAGCAGGGGAUCUUCGGACCUUGCGCUAUUGGAUGAGCCCAAGUCAGAUUAGCUAGUUGGUGAGGUAAUGGCUCACCAAGGCGACGAUCUGUAGCUGGUCUGAGAGGAUGAUCAGCCACACUGGGACUGAGACACGGCCCAGACUCCUACGGGAGGCAGCAGUGGGGAAUAUUGCACAAUGGGCGAAAGCCUGAUGCAGCCAUGCCGCGUGUGUGAAGAAGGCUCUAGGGUUGUAAAGCACUUUCAGUGGGGAGGAAAAGUUUAAGAUUAAUACUCUUGAACCUUGACGUUACCUGCAGAAGAAGCACCGGCAAACUCCGUGCCAGCAGCCGCGGUAAUACGGAGGGUGCGAGCGUUAAUCGGAAUUACUGGGCGUAAAGCGCGCGUAGGUGGUUUGAUAAGCUAGCUGUGAAAGCCCCGGGCUCAACCUGGGAACUGCAGUUAGAACUGUCUGGCUAGAGUAUAGUAGAGGGUGGCGGAAUUUCCUGUGUAGCGGUGAAAUGCGUAGAUAUAGGAAGGAACAUCAGUGGCGAAGGCGGCCACCUGGAG